rnacentral:lncRNA from 1 species
AUGUCCACUGCUGGCCAGUCAAGAGCAUCGCAGAGCACUCAGUGGGGAGGCUGUGUGCCCCAGCCCCGCACACGCGGGAGCCUGGGAGAAGCCAGAGCAGCUUCGGGGAGAAGGGCCUGCACAGGUGGCCUGAGCCAGGGCAGGGGCUGGGGUGUGAGUGGACUGAGGUCAGAAGCACUGACCAACCUCCUGGGAGCAACACUCCGCAGGCAGGACCUUUGGGAUGCUCUGGAAGGCAGAGCUCCAGGCUGUCCCAGGGGAGGCAGCAGGUGCUUUUUCCUGGAUAAGGAUUUGGUCACUCUCUUCCCUGGAAGGGGAGUAAGGUCUGGGGAUGAGGGGUAGCCUGAGCUCUGACCCCAUGCCCUGUCCACCCCACGAGAGAGGAAGCGGCUUCCCCGCCCACCUGCCACCACUGGCGGCACCAGGGAGAAGAGCAGCUGCGGGGCCGCGUCCUGUGCUGCCAACCAGGGUGGGCCUCCCUGAGGGAGCAGGGGCCAGGCUGGGGGUGCAGGCAGGCCUGCUGCUGGCUGGGGGCUCUCUGAAGGCUGGGGGGGCAGGGGGGAUGGCGGUGGGGAAGGAGACCCACCCUCAGAGAGCUAACAGCACCAAGAUGAGAGGAAACAGCAUUAAAUAUGGCAGGAACGAGGGGCCUUAAGGGGGAAGACGAGGGGCUCCCUGAUGUUAUUUCCCCCUUGAGAGUCAGAUCGGGGCAGGGGGCAGGCGAGAGGCAGAGAGGCACCGAGGGGAUGGAGAUGAGCAGGCCGGGCUCCAGCUCUUUCCUAUAGAUAAAAACCUCGGGCCACCACCUUGAGAUCACAGGGCCAAGCUCGGGAUGCAGCCUGGUCAGAAGCCAGAGAAGCCCUGGUUCCCGCACAGGCCCCACUGACGCGGCUUCCCGGCCCCUCGGCAUCUCGCUGACAACCACGGGCUCCCAGAGCCAGCUGGUCCCUGGGACAACUCCACUCUAACUGCGGAUCCACAAAGGCACAGCCAGGAAGAGCACCCUUGCUCCCCGGAGUUGUGACACAAAAGGCCUUCCAGGGGUCUCCGUCGAGCGUCCCCUCCACCGAACAGGAGGAGCCACUCUGAAGCCUCUCUCGGCACAAGAUCCUACGCCGAGCCCAUUCCUCUUUGGGAACCAGCCAGACCCUGACCCAGGGCUCCAGGAUUUUCACGAAGCUGCGAAUAAACGCUCCAUUCGCCCAGCUGUGUGUGUGGCGGGGAGGGGGCUUGUCAGGAAUUCGGCGGCAGGGAGGUCACAGAGCCCCACGCUCAGGGCCGAGGGCCACGUGAGAAGGCAGCCACUGUGAGAGGACGCCCCGGGUGCCCGGCUCCUCGCUGCCCCUCCGGG